GAUGAACGCUGGCGGCGUGCCUAAUACAUGCAAGUCGGACGCACCACUUCGGUGGUGAGUGGCGAACGGGUGAGUAAUACAUAAGUAACCUGCCCUUGCGAGGGGGAUAACUAUUAGAAAUGAUAGCUAAGACCGCAUAGGUAUAUGAGUCGCAUGACCCAUAUAUUAAAAUCCCACGGGAUUGCGCAAGGAUGGACUUAUGACGCAUUAGCUAGUUGGUGAGGUAACGGCUCACCAAGGCGACGAUGCGUAGCCGGCCUGAGAGGGUGGACGGCCACACUGGGACUGAGACACGGCCCAG
rnacentral:rRNA from 1 species